CCGAGAACUUGCGCACAAUGGCCAGUCACGCUCUGGGUAACCGUGGAAGCUGGGAUGCCCUUCAACAAGCAGUGUUGGCGCUUCAGACUAAUAACUGGACUCCAUCUAGUGGUCAUAAUAACACACCGGGCUUUAGCUGCUUCCAGAAAGAGACCUCACACCAAAGCAAAUCAACCAGCCCUGUUCGUGAGAUUCAACUUGCUGCUGUGGUCAGAGGGGGCUGAAAGGACCAAAUAAAACAAUAGCAACAACAACAUACGGAAUCUCAGGCAGUCUGCUACCCUCCUUUUGCAGGUAGGAGCCUGUGCGGCUGAGACCCUGUUGGUCCUAAGGUACUUUUCUCACUGGGAUGGUUUGUGUAAUGUGUUUUAUUAUCAUGUGAAACAAGAGAGGAUGGUGGGCGCAGUACUGAGUGAAGCCUCAGGAGCAUCAUCUCUGCUGUGUGACUUCUGGCAGGUCCUGGGGCUAAACCUCUGAGGGACCGAGUCGGCGUGUCUAAGAUGAGAAGGAGUGACGGGAGUGUGUAUUGGCUGACCUAUCUAAAUAAAGCCUGACUAUAUGAAUCAAAAUGGAAAAGAUUCCACUUUUAGUAUAUCUAAAAGAAACAACUGGAUGGACAGCUACACAGAAAGAUAAGCCAAUUAAGCAACGUUUAUUGAAGACUGGAAUAAAGUUGGAGCAACUGGGGCAAAUUUCCACAAAAAUCUCUAACUACAUCUUCCACAAUGUUUCCUAAUCUGAACGUGUAAUUUCCUGCUUUGGUUUAUUGCACUAUAGAGGUAAUAAAGGAACUAACAAAAGAGAUGUAUCUUUCACAGACAAUAAAAGUUCCAUUUCACUGUUAAAAAAAAAUUUCUCUUUUCAUAUCCCUUAGGCAUGAUAAUAUGCAAGGAGAUAAAAAGGAAACUUGCAAAGACACAAAGGAGGUCUCUGAAGAGGACUGGGUAACAGAGAGUUUGCAUGGUCUGGACACAUCCCCUUCGUUCGACUUUUUGCGACCCCAUGGAGUGUAGCCUGCCAGGCUCCUCUAUCCAUGGGGAUUCUCCAGGCAAGAAUACUGGAGUGGGUUGCCAUGCCCUCUUCCAGGAGAUCUUCUUGACCCAGGGAUCAAACCCAGGUCUCUCGC
ensembl:lncRNA